UAAGAAUGACCUAUAAACAAUCUAAAACAGCUAAACUCCCAGACGAAAAUAAAUAAUAAUUUCAUCUUUCCUUGACAGAAGGGAUGUUGAUGAAUGAAUUUUUGAAACAAUGUGUACGGCUAUGAGUUGGGGACAAAGGUGCCAACAUAACCAACCCCCGCAAUGAAGAAUGCAACAGAUUGGAUGAAUAGGUAGAUAAAGUAUCCGUUCUUUCCAAAGGCAAGGUCAUAGCAGCCGCAGAAGAAGAGGUAGAAUCCAACAAUGAGCUCAAGCACAUGUAGUCUGUUUAUUAGUAAUCACAAGAAAAGAAAAUGUAAACUUCAUAUUCUUACAUUUGACAAGAUCUUGUGGCAUCAAAUGCUAUCAUAACAAAUUGAAAAGUUAUUCAUUUUAAAGGAAUUCUAUCAACAGAACAGAAACCAAAUGCAUAGAUUUAUACCUUUCUCCAAUUCUUAAUCGAGGUUUCCUGGGAGCUUUUGCACCUAAUUUUUUCUUGAGAGCAUCUCCCAGUUUCUCAGUGACGACCCAUUCAUUUACUCUCCCUGCUUCAAAAAGACCUAUAAAUGUCGCCUUAGUCCGGUGCAGAGACAUGACAUUCUCAAAGAGGAUCCAGAAAAUCAAUAGGUGGAGUGAUCUGUAAAUAUGACCUCGAAAGCAUUAGCAAUGAAUAAGUAAAUACAAAGGAAAACAUUUGCAUAUCUGUCACUGCAGAGCUAGAAGUUCUGCAGGUUUGCUAAAGUUUAUAACAGGUUGAAACAACAACGUUACCCACAGUAAACCCAAACCCCAAGAAAACACUGCGUUUUGGGUUGAAAAGCUAAAUAGCUUGCCAUUAAUAAUGCGACGAACCACGAGAAAAAAGAAAACUGGAUCACUAAAAAAGGAAAAGAACAAAGGGGAGAGUAGGAGACCUAGGAGUUCCAACAGCAUUGAGGAGAGUAAUGGUAGAAGGAAUGUAAACAGCACCCCAGAUGGGAACUUGAACUUCAGGAACCAAAACCGUUGCUGGUAAAAUGACACAGUAGAAGACAAAUGUGACGAUAUGUGCUACAAUUUUGCGAACAAAGAAAAAGCUGUAGAUCACAUGAAACUUCUUCAAUGGGGACACCUUCUGCAAUAUAUUGUAAAGUAACAGUGAGUAUGAAGGAAUAAGCUUAGGCAAAAACUAAAACAGAUAUGGUAGGGAAAUACCUUGUUUCUCACAAUCUCCAUUACCAUCUUUCUAAAGAGAUUAGCAGGGCCACAAGACCAUCGAUGCUGCUGAUAACGGUAGGCUUUGAAAGUACUUGGCAAUUCAUUUUUCACCUGAAAUGUAGACAAUUAUUAAUACGGGAUCAAAUGUGAAAUGGUCACAUUGAAAAUAUCACACAACGAGGAAAAGUCCAAUGAAAAGUUGACUACCAGUUGCUCUCUACUCAGAUUGGUUAGUAAACAAGUUUCCAUUGUUUUCCCAACAUGUUUUCAUAUUACAUCUACAGUACGUGCACUAUACAUGCAUGUAUGCCGUUUUCUUACCAGAAACAAAGAAAGCAUCAUAUGGAUAUGGGAUUUGUCCAUGUCAAUGGAAUUGUACUAAAACAGCAUAAUUUUAUUUCCGAGGUAAUUUAUGAAACCUCAAUAACAGAGGAUGUCUAAUUCUAGCUCGUUGUAAGCGUAGGUAGCUAACUUCUUUUGAGAUUUCUUGAUAUUUUGCAAGACUACAACCAUUUUAACAAAGUUCAUUACCUUAAGGUCAGAAAGAUAUACAAAUUUCCAGCCUUUGAGACUAGCUCGGACUGCUAAAUCCAUAUCCUCCACUGUUGUGCAGUCCUUCCAUCCUCCAGCGUCAUUGAGCGCUGCAAUUCUCCACACACCCGCCGUGCCUGCAUCACAUUCCCAGUGUCAUAUCAUUAUUAGGGAUACUUGAAACUUUUCUACAUAGCUCCAUUAGUAAUUUUCAAAAAAUAAAAUAAAAUUUACCAUUGAAACCAAAGAAGGCAUAAGUUGCAGACCCCACUUCUUGCUCCACCGUGAAAUGGUAAUCAAGUGUCAUCUCUUGCAUUCUUGUCAUCAAGCACUCAUCUGAAUUCACUGCAAUGCCACCAAGAAGCCAUCAUCAUCCCUUACCCUUACCCUUGUGUGUCUACAACUCUAUUUUCCUUUAUUGGAUAACCAGUAAAGACUUAUCCUCUCUCUCACAAGUUAUUUCACAAAACAAUUAAAAAUCUAAACAAAUACAAUUAAAAAUCCAUAAAACUGGAAAGCCCUGCAAUUGUGAAGUGCUCGAUUAAUCGGGAUUUGGUUCCUUGCGCAUCAAAGUAGGUAAAAUAAAAUAAAAAAAUUAUGAUGCUGUGCUAACAGCUAACUAACAUAAGUGGACUAAAACUUGUUCUGUAUCUAAGCACUAUCUCUAGAUUUCUAUAUCUUUUUUAAAGAAAAGAAGCAUUGUCAAAGAGACCCAGAAACUUAAAUCUAAAAACCAAUAAAUUCAUAGCAAGCAUUGUCACCAAAACCAAACCUAAGCACUAACGAGCUUAAUUUAAUUAAAUACCAUAAAAACAAGAAUAAUCAUUACCAAAUUUCCAGCGAGCUUGGACAAGAGCAAUGUCAGAGUUGUGGACCAGAAAUGGAAUGGUGCGGUAGAGAAAAUCAGGCUCAGGUUGGAAGUCAGCAUCAAAGAUGGCAACAUAGUCACACUGUUUGACAUAACUGUGCUUCAUGCCUUCUUUGAGAGACCCUGCUUUGAACCCAUUUCUGUCGUCUCUGAUCUCGUACUUUAUGUUUAUUCCUUUGCUUGCCCAUCUUUGGCAUUCUAGCUCCACCAAAUCCUGUAAUUUUUUUAAGGCCAAAAACCCACAUCAGAAAUUGAAAGGUUUGUUGAGUGAAUUGGGAAAGUUUUGGUCUUUAUGUGUUUCGAUGCGGAAAUUGCUGCUUUGGACUCUUGUCCCAAAAGGUCAAAGUCGCAUGGUUGACUUUGGUUGGGUUGCUUUAUGGAUUAGAGCACGUUUGGAUUGGUAAACAUGGUAAACAUUAGUGAAUGGAUUUGGAUUGGUUAAAAUUUAUCUAUGAGGUUGACCAAGAUGACUUUUUUUUAUUCUCUUUGAUAGACUAAUCAUUGAAACACUUUUAUAAGAUUUGAACCACAGACACUAAAAAAUCCUUAAACAACAUAUAAAUUAAUAUAAAAUAUUCUCUUGUCAAACAGUCUAACAUAUUAGGUGAUGGAAUUACUAAUAUCAAUGAUUGAUCAUGUUUAUUUAAAUGUCUAGUACAAAUUUACACUUUACUAGAGCAAUAUGACAUAUCGGUCUAUCAACUUUGGUUAAAGAAUAUGCAGAAGGAAAAAAAAAUCAUUAAAUUAAAUAAAUGAGUUUGAAGGAAGAACCUUAAUGGUUGGAUCUGUUGAAUCAUCAAGAACUUGAAUUAUGAUCCUAUCAGAAGGCCAGGAAAGCCCACAUGCAGCUCCAAUAGAAAGCUGAUAAACCUGCAUCAAGCAGCACAAUGCACUUCUUAAAAAACUCCAAAUACAAAUAAACUAUCUUUUCCAAAGAAAAAAGAAUCAAGUACCUCUCUUUCAUUGUACAUAGGAAUUUGCACAAGAACCAUAGGGUAAGCUGAGUUCCCAAGCUCAACAUCAUCCUUAAUGGCCUCCCAUUUCCAAUGCUUCACAGGCCUUCUUCUAAACAGCUUAAUCAAUAUUAUCAUUAUGCCCAUGUACACCUUCUCCACAAAAAGCAUCAGAGACAUGCCCAAGCACACAACCACCAAAAACUUCAGCAAUGGCACAAUCAGUGUGGCUUUGGCUUGCUGCAAAACCAACCCAAAUUGCCCUACUUGCAAUGUGUCCAUUGUAAAGAGAAAGCAAUGAAAAAACUGAUGGGACUAGAAGUGCUUUUUUUGGGUUUGGGACUAGAAGUGCUUAUUGGUUAUAUAUAGUAAAAGAACAAGCUUCUUUUUUGCUCUGUUUAGCUUUUGGUUGUAUUGGUGUGUUUGCAGUGAUUUUUGCUUCUGAGUUACUCCUAGCUAAUGCUGGAGAGCUGGAUGUACUUGUCAGUGAAUUUGGCACUCCCAUUUUUUCUUCUUAAUAUUAAAUGCUCAGUAACUGGAAUUGGCUAGUUUAGCUAUCAUUUUCUUGGAAGGUAAAACGUUGGCUAUACCUUGAAUUAGACCUCAAUUAAUCGGAUUCUGGAUUCAUUAGGGUGUGGCUCCAAAAACUAGCUAGGUUUAUUUCUUCAGAAAUUUAAAUGUUCAACAAUCAAAUCGAGGGUAAACGAGGGCUCGAUUUCGACCACACUGUUGAAGAAAAAAUGUGAACCUCCAAAUGAUGGAAACUGCGACAAGACACUUGGCUUGUGGUUCAAGGUCCGUUGCUGGUUUGUUGGUCUUAACCGGUUCAUAGAGGGAAUGAUGGAAGGCCACUGGCAGGAGCCGUCGUUUUUUUGUUGUUGCUAAGUUCUCUCAAUUUGAUGCCCUCGUACUUGAAAAUCUAGCUGGCAACUUGGUCCUUCCCUAGUUUUGGUGGCUUCUGUACGACUUGCUUUCUUGUUGGGAGAAAAGGAGGUCAAGUCAUCAUUAAUGGUGAUAAUCCUCUUCAGUCCCUCAUGUGGGCCUAGGAAACACGUUUAUCGAUUUUUUUAACCUUUAGUGUGAAAUAAAGGUCUAGGCCUCUCAAUUUUGGGUCUUCCUAUCGACUUAUUCCAAAAAAGCCCGUUAGGAGAAUGAUGGGCAUCUAAAAAAAGAGACAAGCACUAAUAGGCCUGGGUUCUCUUUAAAAAUAUUCUUUUUAGAGGAUUAGACCAUAUUUGGUCCGUUUAUCAAAACUGAGUACAAACAAAAUGAAUAAUCACUCCUUGGCCUCAGUGUUUAGCACAAACAAUUUAGCUUCAAAUUCUGCUAAUUCACCUGCCAUUAUAUUGACAAUUUUUAAAAACUAUUCAUACAAAUAACCUGUAGGCAAAGAAUUGUAAUUCCAUUUGAACAGGCGCUCCAUAGCUGGAAUAUUGGUGUUAUCUUAUUUUAUAGGAAUUUCAAUGUGUGCAGCCAUCUUCCUUUUUUUUUUCUUUUUUUAAAUUUUUUUCGUUUCAACAAAUGCCUCCUCAAGCUUUAUGCGGGAAACAACUUUUUGCGUGCAAGGCUUGACAACUUUCCUCUCUAUUUUUAAGGUCUUCAUUCAUAGAUCAUCCUUACAAAAAAUUAGACAAAUCGGAAACCGUUUCGACAUCCAAUUGUGUCUUACAAAAUCAAUUAACACAGUACUUUAAGAAAGUACUAAAAUUUCAAUAACUCAAUUGAGUGAUCAAGUGAUAUCAGAUUCAAGUGAUUUUUUAUAGAAAUGAUCUUUGAAUGAGUAUCUACAUAAUAGACAGUUUGGAAUAGUGAAAUACAAUCCGGAGUGGGGCCUACAAGGAGUGUCCCUCAAAUAAGCUUAUUUGAAGGAUCCCUCAAUGGAAACUCUCUAUAUGUAUAUAUAACUUACGUGCCCUGCACUCUUAUCCUUGAAUUUUCCUAGACUAUCCACAAAGAAAUAACUUGAUUUGAACCAUCGCUCAUCAGAAAAGAAUGACCCAUAAACAAUGAAAAACGGGUAUAACUUCCAGACGAAAAUAAAUAAUAAUUUCAUCUUUCCUUGACAGAAGGGAUGUUGAUGAAUGAAUUUUUGAAACAAUGUGUACGGCUAUGAGUUGGGGACAAAGGUGCCAACAUAACCAACCCCCGCAAUGAAGAAUGCAACAGAUUGGAUGAAUAGGUAGAUAAAGUAUCCGUUCUUUCCAAAGGCAAGGUCAUAGCAGCCGCAGAAGAAGAGGUAGAAUCCAACAAUGAGCUCAAGCAC
rnacentral:lncRNA from 1 species